UGUCAGUCAUGUGCAUAAAGUUAUGGGACCUUCAAAUCCCUCUUUUCUAUAUACUCUAUGCUUUACAAUUGUACAUUUACUAUUGCAAUUUAAAGCCUCCAAUUCCAGCUCUAAAGUUCUGCAAAUAUGGCAGAUGUUUUGGUUCAGUAACUUCAGUUCCAGCUAAAUAUCAUUAACUACUGGUUACUAUUUUUGUUGAUGAUCUGCAUGAGUCUGCAGAGGGAGCAUGAUCACCAUUUUGUAGCUGAAGCUUUCUUUUUUCCUCUUUCUAUAUAAUUGUAGUGUUUUCUUGAAAAGGGGCUUAAAGAAUUCUGCUAAGGGAUUAACUGAGAUGGGAAUCAGAGGGGAACUAGUUAGAAGUGCGUUCUAGAAAAGCCUCUCUGUACGAACGCGUGACAGUCAUGCUAGGAGUUAUGCAGUGGAAAAGAAAAGAUGGAGUUCAGUAAGAUCAUACCUUUGCGGGGAUGAGUUUAGUUCAAUAGUUGCAGAGGAUGAUUUAUCGAGCUUCACACCUGCAAUUGAUGAAGGUGAAUUUACUUCAGUUUAUGCAGAGGCGGAUACGGCUUCUAUUAGAAGCUCUGAGGCCACUGUCAAUCAACCAUUGGCAGGAGAUUUCAAGGGCCAAGCAGAUGCUGAAAGCAAUGAGGUGAAGAAUGGAAGACCAAAGGAAAAGCAAAACUCAACUCCAACAGUAACGAAACUGGCGUGGGCUGGAGCUGGCUAGAACGAUGGAUGGUGACUUGUCUGCCAGAAAA